rnacentral:sRNA from 1 species
CUGAGACAGAGACAGUCACAGAGAGUACUAUAUAUGGAGAGACAUAUAGAGAGAGACGGAGAGAGCAAGCAACUGUUAGAUAACAGCUUUAGGCAGGAGAAUAGAGCCAUUAAACCAAAAUGAGGGGCUGUGCUAAGGAACCACGGAUAGCAAAAGCAGCAGGUUUUGGUGGUUUGUAUUUGAACGGAUUAUAGAAAGAAAGGACAUGAGUUCCUAUUCCAAUAAUGAGUCUACAGUGUUCCUAGUCACUGAGAUGGAACACUGUUGGUAAGAAGGAGCAGGGUACAAUCUGGGCAUGCGGUGCGGAGGCAACCAGCCCAAUUGUAGUCCUAUGGAGCAUCAAUACACCGAUAAUCUUGACCUUAGAGAGAGAGAGAGAGAGCUGUCCUGGAGGUAACAUUUGGUAUCAUCAGAGCACAGGGUAGUUCAGACAGUGGGACUGAAUGACUCACUCAAGGACAAAGUUUAUAUCAAGGUUAGAGUUUUGGUGAACACAGCAAUUACAACAGGGAAAAGGAACCCUGAGGAAGCCCAAGAAGGGAAAAAAAGACUUUGUUGACACUGAGGGAGUAGAGAAUUUCAGGAGAAAGAAAUUGAUCAACAGUAUCAGAUGCAUUAGCAAUGUGAAGCAAGACAUGAACUAAAAAGCAUCUCUGAGAUUUGGCAAACAGCAUUUGAAAUUAGGUUUAGUGAGAGAAGGAAAACAAGACAGCUUAAUGCCUGCUUCUUGGAAGAGAUGAUGUCAUGCUAACAGAUGACAGGGUGAGAGAAGGCUCCAGCUUGUCUGUUGCUUAUUUAUCCUACCUAAGGGGAGGAUCUCCACACAGGAAAAGCAGAACCAAUGUCCGCGACACAGAGGUGAUUAAUUGGUCUCUGAUUAAGAAACCCAGCACUUGCUGCCCUGGAUCAAGCCUUUGUGCUCACAUUUAAUCCUCCAUAGCCUUUCUGGUUCUGCAAGUGGUGGACAUCAUAUAACAGCAUUUUUCAAUCUUCAUAUCUGUGGGAUGGCGAUUAAUACAGAUAACCAUGACUGGUCAAGGUGUAGAAAAUAAGAGACCAUGGAAAGCUCAGCCCUGAUUGGAGCAUCUGUAUCACACUCCUCCUCCCAAAGCUCAGGAACAUUGUGGAAGAGACAGAAGAAAGAGUGUAAGAGCAAGAGGUGAUGGACAACUGCAACAAUACAGUGUCUUUAGAAACAUCAGGGCAACUGCACAGAUGAAGUGCAGCAGUUAUGAUAGCGUGUACAAGACCUGUUCUGUAGGAUGAUGUCAUCACGCAGGUGUGGGCAGGUACAAGAUAGAACGAGGCUUGUCAUUGGA